rnacentral:sRNA from 2 species
UGCUUUACAUAGGUGGUAGACGCGGCUGGAGGCCAAGGUCAAGUUGAAAGUUGCUGUCUAGCCAUCCAG